rnacentral:rRNA from 1 species
UGCCCGAUAGUGGGGGAUAACCUGGGGAAACCCAGGCUAAUACCGCAUACGUCCUACGGGAGAAAGGGGGCUUCGGCUCCCGCUAUUGGAUGAGCCUAUGCCGGAUUAGCUAGUUGGUGAGGUAAAGGCUCACCAAGGCAACGAUCCGUAGCUGGUCUGAGAGGAUGAUCAGCCACAUCGGGACUGAGACACGGCCCGAACUCCUACGGGAGGCAGCAGUGGGGAAUAUUGGACAAUGGGGGCAACCCUGAUCCAGCCAUGCCGCGUGUGUGAAGAAGGCCCUCGGGUUGUAAAGCACUUUCAGCGAGGAAGAACGCCUAGCGGUUAAUACCCGUUAGGAAAGACAUCACUCGCAGAAGAAGCACCGGCUAACUCCGUGCCAGCAGCCGCGGUAAUACGGAGGGUGCAAGCGUUAAUCGGAAUUACUGGGCGUAAAGCGCGCGUAGGUGGCUUGAUAAGCCGGUUGUGAAAGCCCCGGGCUCAACCUGGGAACGGCAUCCGGAACUGUCAGGCUAUAGAUGCAGGA